AGGACGAACGCUGGCGGCGUGCUUAACACAUGCAAGUCGAGCGGAAAGGCCCUUCGGGGUACUCGAGCGGCGAACGGGUGAGUAACACGUGAGCAACCUGCCCUUAGCUCUGGGAUAGCUCCGGGAAACCGGAAUUAAUACCGGAUAUGACCUAGGCCGACAUCGGCCGUGGUGGAAAGUUUUUCGGCUAGGGAUGGACUCGCGGCCUAUCAGCUAGUUGGUGGGGUAAUGGCCUACCAAGGCGACGACGGGUAGCCGGCCUGAGAGGGCGACCGGCCACACUGGGACUGAGACACGGCCCAGACUCCUACGGGAGGCAGCAGUGGGGAAUCUUGCGCAAUGGGCGAAAGCCUGACGCAGCGACGCCGCGUGGGGGAUGAAGGCCUUCGGGUUGUAAACCCCUUUCAGCAGGGACGAAGCGAAGUGACGGUACCUGCAGAAGAAGCGCCGGCUAACUACGCGCAGCAGCCGC
rnacentral:rRNA from 1 species